CUACAGCCGGACAGUACCCUGGAGGCCGCACUCGAACCCGCUCCGAUCUUCAAUUCGGAGCCGGCUGCGCAGAUCGAGGAAGGAUGGCUAGACACCGCCUCGGGGCCUGCAACCUCUACGGUGAUAGAGCCGAACAAUGACCUUGUCCCUCAUGAAGCUCGUGACUCUGAGGUGCCGGACUCCGAACCUCCCGCGCCCCCUCCGAUCGAAUCCGAUUGGGCACCGAUCAUGGAGUUCACUGCAGCAGACAUCUUUCAACACUCACCUUUCAGCAAAAUCUUGAGUUCGCUAAAGUAUCUCUCGUUAUCAGGAGAGCCCUGGCCGGACUGCGGUCAGGACGAUUGGGAUGCGGACGACGAAGAAAUUCAAAGCCCACCCACCACCCACUUGGUAGCCACUGUCGAC
rnacentral:rRNA from 1 species